UAAGGCAGUCAAGCUGGUAACUGUAUUUUGAUACUACUUACCAACCACCAGAUAGAAGCCCUGACAAUAAUUACUGAAAAUAGCAGCUACGAAUGGAUGGAGUCUGCUCUGUCACCAGGCUGGAGUGCAGUGGCACGAUCUUGGCUCACUACAACCUCUGCCUCCUGAGUUCGAGUGAUUCUCCUGCCCCAGCCUCCUAAGUAGCUGGGACUAACAGGAGCCUCUGAGAGGACCUGGCCCUGCCCUGUCCUCAGUGCUUCUAGAAUGACAGCCUUGUGCUUCUCUGCCCUGUCUCCAGCAUCUGCAGUACUCAGCUCCCCUGAUGCCACCCGAGUGCCUACUUGACUCCCUCGAAUCACCUGUUCUCCCCUGACAAGAGCGGCCCUUUGGGUUUGGGCUGGGUCUGGAUCCUUGGCAGAAGAUUUGACAGCUUCAGCAGCGUCCUGGUUUUGGUUCAUCUCUGGACUAUGGCCCUGGGUGCCAAGUCUUCAUUUGACCAUCUUUGGAGUUGGUUUCAUGCUCUGAGCCCAGCUCUGUGCCCGUCUGCAGAUGACCAGUUCAGACCUUCCUUGUUCUAGCCCAUUUGGGCUGCUCUUGUAUCCAGUCUUUCUAGAAAGCAUUCUUUUGCAUUAUUUGGUUGCACCAUACCUGACAUUGUCCUGAAAUGCCUGAGUUUCUGGUUCUCCUCCCUAUAUUGAGGAAAUAGGAAGGGUAGGUUUCCUCCAUGGGUGCAGGGUGAGAGAGUAGGGGGAAAAGGCCAGAACCAUGAGCAUGGGAGAGGCUGGCGAUUGCACGAGAAAGGUGAGUUUAACAUGAGCCGUAAUGGCAAGCAGACUGACUGUGCAUUGGGAACUGAGGCACAUUCCCAGAGAAUCCUCAGAGAACCACCCGGGAUGAAGAUGGGAGAGGGGUGCAGAACUCUGGUGGUGGUUUUCCGUGCUUCUGGCUCUUGUUUAAGUGAGGCAGGGCCAUUUAAAGCUGCUAUGAUAUGGAACCUUUUGGCUUAUCAUCAAUAAAGAUUUAUUAAGUCCCUCUGGCUACUAGCCUGAGUCCUUACAAGGUGAGAGAGCUGAGGUUAGGGCGAAUGUUCUGGAGUGGAGGUGUGGUAGUAGCUAUGCACAUAGAUCAUGAAUUUUCAGGGCUCUCUGAUGAAAAAUCCCAUGUUCUGAUUUCAAAAAGGAGGUCAG